CCCGCAUGAUGGCUGCACCUGUCAGCUGCAAGGAGCUUCCUUUAAGGAUCUUCUGAGUCUUGUGGGUAAACUCCAGGAGUUGGUGAU
rnacentral:lncRNA from 3 species